UCUCUUUCCUUUUGGGUACGGAGGGAGGGAGAGGGAGAUGCUGGCGAUGCUGUUCCACUCUUGGGCGGGCCGUUCUUUCCAACUCUGCAUCGAAAGAUUCCACCUUUCCAUGAAAAAUCACUUCCUUCCAUGAAAUAAAAGAGAUCCGUUAAAGCUCGUCUUGAACUUCAAUGGAAGCCAAAAGCUUUCUCCUCAGCUUCUCCUCAAACCCAACAAAAACACCCUCUGUGGGCUCCCAUUCUCGACCUUCUCUCUCAAUCCCAUCUCAGAAAUGGAGUUCCUGCAAAACCCAUUUCGAUUUGAAGCUUGUUUCCCAAAGAGGAGUGCCCAGGAGAGGAUUUCUGUGCAUAAACAGGGCUGAAAACGGUGGUUUUGCUGAUGAAGGAGGAGGUUCUGGAGAUGGGCCUCGGAGGAAGAAUCUGGCAGUGUUUGUGUCCGGUGGCGGAUCGAACUUCCGUUCGAUUCAUGAGGCAGCUGUUCGGCGAGCAAUUCACGGCCACAUUGCUGUUUUGGUCACAGAUAAGCCUGGUUGUGGAGGUGCUGCGUAUGCAAGAGAUAAUGGUAUCCCAGUUAUUAUGUUCCCUAAGAGUUCAUCCUCACCUGAUGGACUGUCAGCAGCUGACCUUGUAACUGCUCUGCGGAGAUUAGAUAUUGAUUUUCUUCUACUUGCUGGUUACUUGAAACUCAUACCAGUUGAGUUAGUUCGGGCAUAUCCAAGAUCCGUAGUGAACAUCCAUCCUUCUCUUCUUCCAGCUUUUGGGGGAAAGGGGUACUACGGUUUAAAAGUGCAUAAAGCUGUCAUUGCAUCUGGGGCUAGAUAUUCUGGUCCUACAAUCCACUUUGUAGAUGAACAUUAUGAUACUGGCCGUAUCCUUGCUCAAAAGGUUGUACCUGUGUUGCCGAAUGACACUGCAGAGGAGUUAGCUACUAGGGUCCUUCAUGAGGAGCAUCAGCUGUAUGUCCAUGUGACAGCGGCAUUAUGCGAAGAGCGGGUAAUCUGGAGGGAAGACGGAGUGCCUCUCAUCCGAAGCAAAGAAAAUCCAAACGACUACAGCUAACAGAGUCGCUGCUCACAGCAAAUCCAAAUCACCCUUUAGAAGACUGUGUAUUACCAUUUUUUAAAUGCCGGCAACUCAUCCACCAUGCACCUGGCUGACAUGCAAGUCAAUCCUGCCCGUCCAAAGUCAUGGUCCCCAUUGUGGAUGGACAACAUUCCCAAACUCACACUGAUUCGACAAUCCUAACCAUUCAGUUGGUUGGCUAUCAAAUGGGCAGUUAAAUUGUGACCCGCAAUCCAUAUUCAAUGGCCACUAACUGCUGGUUAUCAUCCAAUCAGUGUGAGUUUUGGGCCAUGCUUCAUCUUCAACAGGGCCAACAGUGUGGGUGGUCUGGAUUGAUGUACAUGUAAUGCUACUUGUGCUGUGGAUGAAUGAUCACCAUUUCAAAAAAUGGUGGAAAGAAUGGUUACUGUCACUUGACUGUCGCAUUCUGUUGUGAUAACAAGCAACUGAGAAAAAUAUUGGAUGAUCCGCUGUAGUGAAUUGGCCGUUGGGUGCAUCCAUUUGUGGGCCAUUGCACUUCGUAGGACGUGGGUCAGACUCCGGGAAAUUUUUGUAUGGAUUCCGGGAAAUUUUUGUAUGGGUGUGUUAUAGGAUAUAUAUGUAUAUCUGUUAAGAUCUCCAACAGAUCUCUACAGAUGUCCCACCCCAUUUUAUAUACUUUGGUCAUUAUCAAUGAAAUAUAAAUAAUACUAUUUAUACAAUAUAAUAUCUUGUGUUAAAAUGGUAUCAAAUGCA